UACGUAGGGGUCGAGCGUUGUCCGGAUUUAUUGGGCGUAAAGGGCGCGUAGGCGGCCACCGCAAGUCGGUUGUGAAAUCUCUGGGCUUAACCCAGAAAGGUCAACCGAUACUGCGGGGCUAGAGUGCAGAAGGGGCAACUGGAAUUCUCGGUGUAGCGGUGAAAUGCGUAGAUAUCGAGAGGAACACCUGCGGCGAAGGCGGGUUGCUGGGCUGACACUGACGCUGAAGCGCGAAAGCUAGGGGAGCGAACGGG
rnacentral:rRNA from 1 species